AGGAAUGGGCUGAGAAUGGCUUUUGCUUUCUCCGCAGACGGGCACGCUCUCAUCUGAUUUGGGCCAUCACCGAGCCAAGGCUCAGAGUGAAGGGGGAAAAAAUAAACUCCGCCACUAUGUGCUACGGGAAAUGCGCGCGAUGCAUCGGACAUUCUCUGGUGUGGCUCGCCAUCCUCUGCAUUGUAGCUAAUAUUUUGCUGUACUUUCCCAAUGGGGAAACAAAGUACGCUUCUGAAGACCAUCUUAGCCACUUUGUGUGGUUCUUCUCGGGCAUCAUAGGAGGAGGUUUGCUGAUGCUCCUGCCAGCAUUUAUCUUCAUAGGACUGGAACAGGACGACUGCUGCGGCUGCGGCGGCCACGAAAACUGCGGCAAAAGAUGCGCGAUGUUUUCUUCUGUACUGGCCGCUCUCAUCGGAAUUGCAGGAUCUGGCUACUGCGUCAUUGUGGCAGCACUGGGCUUAGCGGAAGGACCAAGAUGUCUUGAUGCCAGUGGCCAAUGGAACUACACCUUUGCCAACACGGAGGGAGGUUACCUUCUGGAUAGCUCCACAUGGGCCCAGUGCAUUGAACCCAAGCAUGCAGUGGAAUGGAAUGUCUCUCUGUUUUCUAUCCUCUUGGCACUUGGUGGAAUUGAAUUCAUCUUGUGUCUCUUUCAAAUAAUAAACGGAGCGCUUGGAGGCAUCUGUGGUUAUUGCUGCUCUCGCCAACAGGUCUCCUAACUUUCUUUGAAAAUAAGACAAAACCUAAUGAAAACGAAAAGCCCAUUGCUACCAUGAAAAACUUUGCUGAACAUAGAUGGAAACUUUCUACGAUUUUUGAGGGGAAGUUAAAAUAAAAUUCUAGAUUUCCUAUCAGGCAAAUAAAGCAAGACUAAUAAUUGCCUUGGGAGCCUGCCAAAUUUCCAAGAAAACAGCAGAGUGGAAAGCCUUCAAUUUGGAGUCGUUUCCAGGCAAUACGGUUGGGGAGAGGCAAAGAAUGCUCUUGGGAUUACUAUAAAAAUAACCUAUCUUUAGCCUUGAAUUUCCUACAAGGCAGAGUUUAAAUUAGCAAUAUGAUUGCUAGAAGAACCACCCCAAGAUAAAACUACAAUCUUCCUCAAUGUCACUGUAAUUUAUAUAAUUUACUUGUAAUAAUUUGUAAAACUUUGUACUAGUGUAUCAUACAGCCCAUGUUCUACUUUUAUAAGUGUGUAUAAAGACUGGCAUCUUCACGGGAUGUCAGUGUUUGAACUUAGCAAAGAAAUUCUUUUUUUUUUUUUAGGAAUAAGAAAGUAAACCACACUCUGGAGGUAAUUUACAAACUGAGUGACAGUUCUCAGCCUACCUGAGAUAAACUCUGGCUGAGGUCAUGUUUUUGAGAAACAUUACAAGGAUAAAUAUCACUUUCUGAUUACUAUUGUAAAUAUUUAUAUGUGCAUGUGUUUAUGAAAUGAAAGAUUUCUAGUUGCUUUUUUUAAGACCAUUAAGGAGAAAAUCCAACAACCUGAAAAGAUGUAUUUUUUCACUGUUUAUAUGGUGUUUCCCAUUUGCAUGCCUGCAAAUCUCUACUAAGGGGCCUCUUGAGUUGAUUUCGUGUUAUGAAAGAGACAGAAACUUCCCUGGCGUGGGAGGACAGGUUGAGAAUGCGCGAAGCCAAAUGAAUGAGUCAAAAUACACAUGCGGCGAGUUGUCGCAAGGACUACCAGAUCCUGAAUUUUCCUAACACGUGGAAAGCUUUUCGUCCUUCAAAGACAAGACUGAGGAUCACGGAUUUUAAAAGAGAAAGGCCUGGAUAAUUGGACAAGAAGAAAGAUGGGGAACGGAAUAAAGCAGUUGAUCAGCAUCAUGGGAACAUGGGGGAGGAAGGGCGGGAGGACCAUGAGGAAAUACCACCCCCCCAAAUUUGCUUGUUUAAAUGCAACAAAUAAAGUAUUCACUACCA